UCUCUAUCUUCUUUCUUCUUGUCUUUCUAAUAGUCUGAUAUUUUUCUCCUUUUUCGUCUCUUUCUUCAUUUUGGUUAGCUCCAAGAAUGCCUACAAAAUAGCUCUUCGAAAAUGCAUGAUUCAACUUCUAUUUCAGAAAAUCUAAUGCCAGCCUUCUAAGUGGGUCAAGGGGAAGCAAUUGGAAGAAGUUGUGGCCAUUAAAAACACAUAUGGGAUUGGUGGCAAAAAGAUAGCUUUUGUUGGACUAUUUGAACUCAAAUAAUUUUCUAUAAAGUUUGGAAGCUAAGACAUCAUUUGUAUAUAAAUGGUUAUAAUUACUUUGUGAACAUCUUUAUUGCAUUUUGAGAUUGUAUGGAUUUAUUUAUUUAUUUAUGGAUUUGGU